UAGACUUAGAUAAAGCUAAAC
rnacentral:piRNA from 1 species